UUUCUUCACUGAAUAUUAUAAUAAACGAAAUAGAACAUAAAUAUUCACCAAGAUAUAUGAGCCUACUUGCUGUUGUGAAUUUUAGUAUUAAUCACAUAUAUUUAGAAGAAGAUUUUGAAAAGAUUCGUAAGACUGUAGUAUCACUUUUUGGAAAACUGAUCGAC